GACGACAAAGCAGAUGAAAUGUAGUCUUCAUCUUCACCACAGUGCCAUAGUUGAGAAGGAUACUUGAAGCAAAUUGGAGGAUAAAAUUUGCACCCCCGAUUCUCAGACUGAGGACUGAGAGGAUUCUAAUUCAGUACUGGGGAGAGAUAACUAUAGAUGAAAAUGCAAGCAGUGUCAGAUGAUAUUAUUUGACUGGAUUUCCUUGAACAUAGCACCACUAUCAACUCAGAGUGUAACUGGAACUGGAAGAGGAAGACUUUAUUGGUCAACAGUUCACUUAUUUAAAUUGCAUAAGAAGAAUUUUGAUUUUACAAAUAUAAAUGAGGAAACUGA